CGGCGGGUGUGUUGUGCGGUGACCACGUGUAGUCAGGUUGUGUGUUUUCUUGAACAUUUAUUUGUGGUCAAGACAAGUAGAACUGCCGAAGUUCUGGAAGUCUGUUCUCAACGACUCAGCGGGUAUGGUCAGACCGCCACCAUUCCCUCAGAGACGCGCCUGUGUACUGCACCACUCCAGAUCUCCAGCACUCAGAGAAAUGAAACUGAGCGCUCACUGAUUAGGAACCAUGACCAGGCUGGCAGUGGCGGGGAGUGCAGUUCAGGGCGAAAGGCAGUGAUCCGGUUUGUUCAUCGUCAUCAUCACAAUUUUUCAUGAAUCCGGAAUUAUUUUACUGUAACUCGUAAGGAAAUUCGAUGUGUGUCAGUAAUGAUUAACGCUCUGCUGAUGACUAGCGAUGGUGAUGACUUGAGAUUGGUGAUGAAGGUGAUGAAGAUAAUAAUAACGGUGAUGAUGAUGAUGGUGAUGAGAACGGGGAAUGAAGAUUAUAGCAGUGACAGUAGCGACGAUAAUAAAAAUUCUAACGGUGAUGAAGUUGAUGAUAAUGAAGAUGAUGAAGAUGAUUAAGAGAAUAACGAUGAAGUGUUCUCAACGGUUAGCGGGCAAGAAAAAGGUAAAAUCAAUAGAAUUUUGGUAUAGAAAGAGAAAGGUAGAUAGGAAGUGCAUGUUGCAGAUGAAUGACUGUUUUAGCGUGGCCGAGUGAAUACAGAUAUUUUUGUUCGUCUGGUAAAAUCUGUGAAUAGUGAAGAUAUUUUCAUACAGAACAAUUAAUUUCCUGGAGAAAAUAAUCUAGUUCUGAAAUUCAUAUCAAGAUCAGAGUCAAAUAACCUCCGGCAGAAAGAAGCUUGAAUUGUUAAAUGUUAUUGCUUCUGUUGUGAAUGUGGCCGAUGAAGUGAAUGUCCUUCCUGUGAUGUACUUGUGCAGGCUCAGUGUCAUAUCCGCUUGUUUUCAAGAUGACAGCAGCCCUGGUCAUGUCAAAAUCUUUCGGAAUGUUUGGGAGAUUUCUAGUGCUAUCCAUAGAAUAGUAUGAUGCAUCUCCCAAUUGGACGUAAGUGGACAUAUUAAACCUGUGACUGCUAGGUAAUGACCGUGUGGCACUUGCUACUUCAUUCCACUAACUGUUUUACUGGAAAAGAAAAAAAAAAAUAGACACGGAAAAUCUAAAGAUUCAAAUUAUCUGAUUAUCCCUGUUUGUGUCAGUUUUUUUUUUUUUUUUUUCAAGAUUACUCUUGUACUCUAGACUUGCAGCAUUACCUUUCAUUCAGUUUGAGAAGCGAUAUCAGUCAAUAGUUAAUGAAGGAAAUGCAGGUAUUGUUAAGAGGAGGGCGCUGUAACGUGCGGACACACCUAAAGUGUCCUUAUUAGUGACGCAGAUCGUGAUAUAUGUGAUUACUUGCUCAUCAAACUGGAUCUGAUUUGGACAACUUAACACUGUUGUCCCCGACGAAUUGAGAGAUCUUCCUUCCUUUCUUACGGGUGAUGAGGAAUGAUGAUGGAAAUCUAUGAGAGAUACUGCGCUGCUCACCAUUUGGCUGGCCAGCAAGAAAUAUGCCAAACAUGCACUGUUUUUAUUAUACCUCAAAUUAAUAAUCUGCCAGCGAUGAAAUAAUGAGCCUCAGCGUGUUUCCUGUGAGGUGUGUGAUGUGCAGGGUUGCUGUCGGGUAAAGAGCUUAGUGACAGGUAAUGUAAUCUUGCACUAAGAAAUUUUUGCAAGUAGUACCCUUGGGAAGCCUGUCACGCUGUAUUCAUUCAUCACUCCCAUUAUAUGAUCAGGCACAGCCCCGGGGAAAUUAGGUGUAGAGAUACGAGGACAUAACUGACGCCUUACUGCAAAUGAUAUUGUACCAGCUGCUGCCCCGGCGUGAGCUUCUGAUGAUAAAUGUUAGAAGUCUUUGUGGAAAUUAAACAUGUAAGAUAAAUAGAAAAAUACUGAAUUCUUAUCCCUACAGAGACUAUUUCAUUAACACACUACAACCUACAGCUUUUAAGAUAUUAUCCUGAAUUCUUUUUAAGCAAGAAAGUAUGUGAAUGACCAGAGUAGAGAAGAUCGUGAGCAUGUGGUCUUGUUAAGUUAUGUUACGUUCACACA